CUCCGGUUGAUCCUGCCGGACCCGACUGCUAUCAGAGUGGGACUAAGCCAUGCGAGUCAACAUAGCAAUAUGUGGCAUACGGCUCAGUAACACGUAGUCAACAUGCCCAGGGGACGUGGAUAACCUCGGGAAACUGAGGAUAAACCGCGAUAAGUCACUACUUCUGGAAUGGGUAAUGACUCAAAUCUACAUGGCCCCUGGAUUGGACUGCGGCCGAUCAGGCUGUUGGUGAGGUAAUGGCCCACCAAACCUGUAACCGGUACGGGCUCUGAGAGGAGGAGCCCGGAGAUGGGCACUGAGACAAGGGCCCAGGCCCUAUGGGGCGCAGCAGGCGCGAAACCUCUGCAAUAGGCGAAAGCCUGACAGGGUUACUCUGAGUGAUUUCCGUUAAGGAGAUCUUUUGGCACCUCUAAAAAUGGUGCAGAAUAAGGGGUGGGCAAGUCUGGUGUCAGCCGCCGCGGUAAUACCAGCACCCCGAGUGGUCGGGACGUUUAUUGGGCCUAAAGCAUCCGUAGCCGGUUCUACAAGUCUUCCGUUAAAUCCACCUGCUUAACAGAUGGGCUGCGGAAGAUACUAUAGAGCUAGGAGGCGGGAGAGGCAAGCGGUACUCGAUGGGUAGGGGUAAAAUCCGUUGAUCCAUUGAAGACCACCAGUGGCGAAGGCGGCUUGCCAGAACGCGCUCGACGGUGAGGGAUGAAAGCUGGGGGAGCAAACCGGAUUAGAUACCCGGGUAGUCCCAGCUGUAAACGAUGCAGACUCGGUGAUGAGUUGGCUUCUUGCCAACUCAGUGCCGCAGGGAAGCCGUUAAGUUUGCCGCCUGGGGAGUACGGUCGCAAGACUGAAACUUAAAGGAAUUGGCGGGGAGCA
rnacentral:rRNA from 1 species